rnacentral:miRNA from 5 species
AUUUUUUUAGGUUUUGAUUUUU